rnacentral:rRNA from 1 species
UACGGAGGGGACUAGCGUUGUUCGGAAUUACUGGGCGUAAAGCGCACGUAGGCGGAUUGUUUAGUCAGGGGUGAAAUCCCGAGGCUCAACCUCGGAACUGCCUUUGAUACUGGCAAUCUCGGGUCCGGAAGAGGUGAGUGGAAUUCCUAGUGUAGAGGUGAAAUUCGUAGAUAUUAGGAAGAACACCAGUGGCGAAGGCGGCUCACUGGUCCGGUACUGACGCUGAGGUGCGAAAGCGUGGGGAGCAAACAGG